GUUCUCGCUUCAGUAGCACGUAUACGAAAAAUGGAAUGAUACAGAGAAGAUUAGCAUGGCCCCUGCUCAAGUAUGAUAUGAAAAUUCAUGAAGCGUUCCAUAUUUUU
ensembl:snRNA U6 U6 spliceosomal RNA